GGGAAAGGGGGCGGAGCCAAUGAGGGAGGGGGCGGGGCUUGGAAUGGCCAAUCACUGCUCUCCUGAUUUGCAUAUUCAAAUUUUUUCCUUCCAUGUGUGGCCCCAAAAGGACCCCGGGACCAGGGGCCGAGGCAUGACCCAGGGGAGCAGGACAACUCGGACAACAACACCAUCUUCGUGCAGGGGCUGGGCGAGAACGUCACCAUCGAGUCGGUGGCCGAUUACUUCAAACAGAUCGGGAUUAUCAAGACCAACAAGAAGACCGGCCAGCCCAUGAUCAAUCUCUACACUGACCGCGAGACCGGGAAGCUCAAGGGCGAAGCCACCGUGUCCUUCGACGACCCGCCCUCGGCCAAGGCCGCCAUCGACUGGUUCGACGGUCGGAAUUCCCAAAAUUCCCGAAA